UUGUUUUGGAUUAAAUACUGGCUCAUCACCGACUCUGCUAUAUUUUUUUUAUUUCUUCCUGUUCUACCCGCUUUAGCCCUGAAAUUUCUUGCAAGUAUUCUCCAUUUUAGGACAGCCAUAAUGUUGUGGUUGUGGUUUCCCAAAACUCGAGGCGCAUCUCUUUUGUAUAAAACGUUUUCUUCAUUAGCAGAAAGGCAUUGCUUCUUUUGAUUAAUUGGUCUAUAUUGCGCAUAAAAAAUGAAGAAAAGGAUUGCUAUUCCCAACAUUUAUGUAAACUGGGAGCUUUUUUACUGCCUGGAAAGUUUCAGUGGGUCGCCGAAUACCUGCAAACUUCCAGCCCUUUAACUUUAUUGGCUACUUUAUUCCUUUUCACUAAUUGGUAUGAGCCAUAAAUAAAUACAAAGAAAGUUGUGCACGUUCAGUAUGUCACCAUGUGGGGCUGCUUACUCUUCGGCUACAUAUAUCCGCUGUACCGAACGCUUAUAGUUUUACAACAGCACAAGACUUUAACGAAAGCUCGCGCCACUAAACUAAUUGAGUAUUGGACAAAAUAUUGGCUGGCUUACUCUUUUUUUAAGGGAGCGCACACGUACUUUCAAUUGUGGCUUAAAUGGAUCCCUUUUUUUUAUUAUGACUUGGAACUCCUUUACAUAUUGGCCCUCCGACUAAUGGAUCCUAACUUCGUCGUCUUUUUACUGCUAAAAGCUACCAAAUUACGACGAUUACAGACUAAUAAUAAAAAAGAAGGCAGCCAUUAUAUAACAACCAAUAAUGACAAUAGUAAUAAAGAAAUGAUCCAAUAAA